rnacentral:rRNA from 1 species
UACGUAGGUGGCAAGCGUUGUCCGGAUUUACUGGGCGUAAAGGGCGUGCAGGCGGUCUGUUAAGUUCAGGGUGAAAGCUCCCGGCUCAACUGGGAGAGGUCCUUGGAUACUGGCAGACUUGAGGGAGGUAGAGGAGAGUGGAAUUCCCGGUGUAGUGGUGAUAUGCGUAGAUAUCGGGAGGAACACCAGUGGCGAAGGCGGCUCUCUGGGCCUUUCCUGACGCUGAGGAGCGAAAGCUGGGGGAGCGAACAGG